GGCACCACAGGAGACAGACCAGCAUUGGUGAGAGGCCAAGAAAAUAACUCGCCUUCUUCCAAGCCUCUGAAUUUUUGCACCUUAUUGGGAGCGGACCUGGUGACUCUCCUAACAGUGCAGCUGCGGGGAAUAUAACACCAGGGGGCACCAAGCAAGGAUGGAGAAGGAAUAAACUGACCACUGCCUUCGGAUGAACCCACCAAACAUCAGAACAGAUCUCUUAGCAAGGCCUUCUCACAGCUACUUCUGCUGCAGUCCUGUGAGUCUCCAUCAUCGAUUUAUCUGUCUGAGGACAGUACAGCAUUUGAGCCUACACUUCCAGAGACCCCGUGGAAAGAAGAACCAUUGUUUAAGUGUCCAUCGAAACAUGGAUAUACUAAUGAUGCCGGAGUACCAGGAAGCAUGUUGGCCUCUGAAGAUAAUAUGGGAGCGCAUUAACCAUGCAUACAGUUCAGAUACUCCUCCUAUGGACUGGGGACUUCAAAAAGGGGACUACGGCUUCCAAACCUGGGUCUUCCCAAAUAACAAUGAAAAAUACUGUGUGGUCUGGGAUUCUCAGCGUUCCUAUUGGAAGGUGAACACUCCGUUUGGACAGUGUUUAUUUUUUCUAGGACCUCUGAUCAUCAACAAAGAAAGGAUGGGUCUGGCUGCACCCCCGUUAUUCAAUGUCAAUGUGUCAGAUACAGAUACACUGAUGCCGGACUCGCCUGUAAAGGUGGCAGAGCAAAUGCAAAAAAUUGUGCAAUUUGUGGUUAAGCCUUACAGCAACAAAGCAUCCUGAGAUACAACCUGUAUGUGUUCCAUAGUGAUUGCUGAUUACCCAUGUUUUAAGUUACAUUCAGACGCUUAGUUUAUUUAAAUAAGGUGUGGAGAUGUCACAUUUUAGUGGGGGGAGGGGUUUUCUAUCGUAGUACAGUAGGUGGCCACAGACCUGUUUUGGAAAUGUUAACUGUCUUGAUACAUACUUAGUUGGUGAGGUUGAAAAAAGUAUUUUGUGGAGUUUUGCAGAGACGCAAGAAGACUGUUUAGUCUCUCUGGGGCACACUUUUCACAUAGUAGUACGGUAAGUAUAUUGGUUUGGUUAUAUGGUAUGAUUGUAGGUACUGUAAGUAAAGAUUUUUUCGUUAAAACUUAACUUUUUUAAAGGGUAUACAAACGAAAAUGAUAAAAUACACCAAUGAAAAAAUUAAUUAAUUAAAAACAUAUUAAAUAAAUUGCUCACUUCUAUUCAAUUUAAAAGUGUCAAAGUGUCUAGUGUCAAAGUGGGCACUGUCUAUGUCAGACGUGAGUACAAUAAAGAAGAGACUUAUAUC